GUCCACGCCGUAAACGAUGGGUACUAGAUGCUUGGGGGAGCGACCCUCUGAGUGUCGGCGCUAACGCAUUAAGUACCCCGCCUGGGGAGUACGGCCGCAAGGCUGAAACUCAAAGGAAUUGACGGGGGCCCCGCACAAGCGGUGGAGCAUGUGGUUUAAUUCGACGCAACGCGAAGAACCUUACCUAGGCUUGACAUGCAUGGGAAAGCUCUGAGAAACCAGGGCCCCUCUUCGGAGUCCAUGCACAGGUGCUGCAUGGCUGUCGU
rnacentral:rRNA from 1 species